GGGAUUCCCAGCCCGGGCUCGGCCCCGCGCGGGCCCCGCCCCUGGCUGCCGGCGCUCUCUGCCGGCUGGGAGCUCGGCGCGCUCGACCCGCCUGCACACAGGGACCGCCGUCCUCCGGCGCCGGGGAGUCCUUGGCGCCGCGGCUUCGAAGCAAGUCCCCGAAAAGGUCUCCGCGUGCACUGCGGGCCUAGCCCCAAGCCGCUAGGUGAAGCUGUGGUCGACUUCGAGUAUAUGACAAAUGUACAUUAUGGAUCACACUCCCUUCCUGCCGAUACCAGACCACAUUUCCACUCCAGCAUUUCCACUCCGGCAGUUGAAAUGAGAGAGAGGGAACGGCACCCACCAUGCCCCUAGCAUGUUUUGCCUUCCUGCUCUGUGCCUGGGACUGCAGUGAUGGAAUAGUAGUCUCUGUUACCUGUCAGGAACUCAGAAUCUUGUGAGGAGAGCAGACUGGUAAAUGGAUCAUUGUAAUACCUGGCGAGGCCCUGUACCAGGGAUGUGUAUGAAGUGGAACAGCAUAGAGGAAGGUGUCACAGAGAUUGAAACAAUGACUGGUCUUGGAGCUGAGCUGCGCCCUCCACAACUACAUUGAAAACGACUUAACUUGGAGCUGAUGGGUCCUGGAAAAACACUGUUCCCCAAUAUUCCCCAAUAAAAAAAUUUAUUACAGUAGAAGACAUUGCCAUUAAUCCCCCUCAAAAUACUCCCCUCACUUCGAAUACACUUACUUAUCCCAUGUGUUCUUGCCGCUUUCUGAAGCAGUUCUGGAAGUCCUCUUUGGAGGGUGUCUUAGUUGCUCUGUCAUGGCUGCCUCCAUGUCCUGAAUCGAUUCAAAAUGAUUACCUUUCAUAGUCAUUUUGACUUUGGGGAAGAAUCAGAAGCUGCAUGGUACCAGACCCGGUGAAUAAGGUGGAUGAGGACACACUAUGUUUUUAUUUGACAAAAAUUGCCAUACCAGAAGUGAUGUGUGACACAGAGCAUUGUCAUGGAGGAUGAGGUAAAGACACU